rnacentral:lncRNA from 1 species
AGCUAGUAAAACGGAAAUGCGUCUUAUGUGUUGGAGGACUCUAACAGCCUUGGACAGACUAACUGUAUUUUUUUUCUCUAGCAGUGGAGAUGAUGGGCUGGGACUAGGGCACAAGGUCUGGCUGGUUAUCCAGAGAGAGAUUCCUUGGAGCAGUGUUCACAGACCCCCUUGAUGUUUGACUUGGUUAUUGGCUCCACUCACGGAAUUUUCUCCCUGUUUCUUAGAAUCUCGUAUCACGCCACCGGAAUGAAAGUGAAAGGAUUUUUCCCCCCAACUUCAGCAUUUUACAGGUGGGGAAACUAAAGACCAGGAAUUGCUCAAUUUUGAGUAUAAAAGGAAAAUAUUUUUAGGAAACAAAUCAAAACUGAAUGUUUUUUCUCACUGCAGCUGAUUCAGUUGACCGAAACUGGUAAGUGAUUAUAAACAACAGGACUUGUUUUAAACAACUCACUUUCCCAGCCUUAAGACUGAAGACUGCUAGUCUUCAGUCUUCAAUUUGCAUAACUAUUAUACAUGCAUAGAAUGUGUAAUGAUCAAGUCAGGGUAUUUAGAUUAUUAAUGUUGGUUAAAAUUUUAAAAAUAAUGUUAUUUACAGGGCUUUGAAUGCUUCCUGGAGACAUUGGGCUUUGUCAUAGAGACAAUGUGUAGCCAGAGAAGGAUUUAAGCAGCACAGUGACAAAAUCCCAUUUCUAUUCCAAAGGUUCCUACUAUAGUAGUGAAUGUAAGGGUAAGGAAAGGCAAAUAAAGGUCAGAAAAUGCAAAAUAAUAAGACAAAGGAUGGAAUAUUAAUAUUAGGCAAUAAAAUGUCUAAGGAAAAUUCUUAAAUAUCACAAAGGAAUUCAUUUAUAAUAAUAUGUUGUUUAAAAUCUUAUGAUCAAAUAAUAUAAUAUACUACUAAUAAAAAAUUUGCCUGAGUAUGAGAAACUAACAAAAGCAUAGUAAUCAA